CUCUCAAUAGUACAAAUAAAACCCCCCACAAGAUUAAAGAAGAGAGUUAAAGCAAGAAUCCUCAUGACAAGGGGUGGCUACUCUGGCAUUUUCAAGUCUUGAGGUUGCUGUUUUCCAGGGGGUGAUGUGAUAUGACCCUAGCCAACAUGUAGAGCUGGUUUUGUGGACUGUGCCUGUGUGCUUGUGAGAAAGCAGAGCGACAGAGGGAGGCAGAGUUAGAGCUAGUUGCAGAAGGAAAGUGCAAUUUCUGAAUCAAUAACAUAUAUGCAUUUAAUAAGAAAUGCCACUACCCAACAGUCACCAAUGUGGAAUUUUGGGCAUCCUGGCACAUCUGAGCCAGAAAGAUUCUGAAGAUGGAGGAACAGAGGAACCUUUUGGCACCUCUCAAAGUACAGAUAGAUGCCACAAGCCAGCUGCCAACAGGAAUCCAGACCCUGGCUAACCAUCACCCAGCUUCCAUCUACUGUGUUCAGGGGCAGACCUGCCUGACUUGGAUAUCAGCUUCUCCAUGAAAAUAUGCAGUGCCUAAAAUUUACACUGAUCGAUUUGUUCACGAGAAAGGACAUUUCUAAAAGAGCCAGGAGACUGCCCCCAGAACCAAGAGGAGUACUGGAGAGCAGAAGAUGAAGAAAAACCUUUAAACAGCAGAGCAGUGAAGUGGAGGGAGAGGCGGCCCCUCUCCUUUGCCAGAGACUCCCACUCCCAGAUGCAGGCUGGAGCGAUCCCUCAUAAUUUAAGCUGACACCCCUCAGCGGAGAUGAAAGGAACACCACUCGCUGCUCUCCAACAACAAAUGUCAGCAUCCCUGGAGGCCGUUUAGACACAAACGCAGCAUAAAUCUGACUCCUAGUGGGGAAGUCCAGAGAUUAAGUCUCCACACACAGCCUACCAGAGUGAAAU
rnacentral:lncRNA from 1 species